UACGUAGGGGGCAAGCGUUGUCCGGAAUCAUUGGGCGUAAAGCGCGCGUAGGCGGCCCGGUAAGUCCGCUCUGAAAGUCCAAGGCUCAACCAUGGAAUGCGGGUGGAUACUGCCGGGCUAGAGUCCGGAAGAGGCGAGUGGAAUUCCUGGUGUAGCGGUGGAAUGCGCAGAUAUCAGGAGGAACACCAAUAGCGAAGGCAGCUCGCUGGGACGGUACUGACGCUAAGGCGCGAAAGCGUGGGGAGCGAACAGG
rnacentral:rRNA from 1 species